rnacentral:rRNA from 1 species
CAGGCCUAACACAUGCAAGUCGAACGAGUGCCUUCGGGUGCUAGUGGCGCACGGGUGCGUAACGCGUGGGAAUCUGCCCUGGGGUCUGGGAUAACGUUGGGAAACUGACGCUAAUACCGGAUGAUGAUGAAAGUCCAAAGAUUUAUCGCCCUGGGAUGAGCCCGCGUAGGAUUAGGUAGUUGGUGUGGUAAAGGCGCACCAAGCCGACGAUCCUUAGCUGGUCUGAGAGGAUGAUCAGCCACACUGGGACUGAGACACGGCCCAGACUCCUACGGGAGGCAGCAGUGGGGAAUAUUGGACAAUGGGCGCAAGCCUGAUCCAGCAAUGCCGCGUGAGUGAUGAAGGCCUUAGGGUUGUAAAGCUCUUUUACCCGUGAUGAUAAUGACAGUACCGGGAGAAUAAGCUCCGGCUAACUCCGUGCCAGCAGCCGCGGUAAU